GUAUGUAAAUUCCCUAACGAGGAAGUACAUUUUCCUACCUUCUGAAGCUGGAAGUACAAAUUGAUUUUGCUGAUCACACAGCACGGGAUAUUCCGUUGAAAAGCGAAAUUGUACCGAAAGUAGUAGUCUGGAGACGUGUUUUCACAAAUGGAAAACUUGACAAUUGGCACGCCAUUUCAAAACGCGGCUCUUCAUUUCACGACGCGUGCUCAAAAGACGCCGAACUGCAACAGCGAGGCCAAACAGGGAUACGUGAGACAUUUUGGCAACGCUGGACUCAAAGAAGUGCAAGGCUGCUGUGCAGAAGGGGACACUCGCCGAGGCCUCCUGUCAGUCAAAAAGCACACAAGGCAACCUUGGCAGAUCUCUCGAUGGUGCCCUCCAUCUUCACACAAUAGCGCAGUGAAAGACCUGGCCUCUGCGAGACCCCCGAG
rnacentral:lncRNA from 1 species